UACAGAGGUCCCAAGCGUUGUUCGGAUUCACUGGGCGUAAAGGGUGCGUAGGCGGUUUGAUAAGUCUGAUGUGAAAUCCCGCAGCUUAACUGCGGAACUGCAUUGGAAACUAUCUCACUAGAGGAAUGGAGGGGAGACUGGAAUACUUGGUGUAGCAGUGAAAUGCGUAGAUAUCAAGUGGAACACCAGUGGCGAAGGCGAGUCUCUGGACAUUUCCUGACGCUGAGGCACGAAAGCCAGGGGAGCAAACGGG
rnacentral:rRNA from 1 species